rnacentral:rRNA from 1 species
AUGUCCCAAAGUUUUACGCACACUAACGAGAAUCGAAGCAAACUCUAUAUCAUUCUUGAAGCUGGAGAACAACCAACCACUAGAUUACUUUCCUUACUUUUACUUUGUACUACAUACAGCCCUGCCAAGCCAAAUUAUUUUGUACUGCAUUCUUGCAAAGCCAAAUUAUACACACUUGCCAAGCCAAUCGAAACAAACACUGUAUCAAUUUUAAGUUUAUCAAUAUUUAUCGUACACCCAACCACCAGGCCUGGCCAUGUCACGGGCCGCAGCUGGCGUUCAACAGCAUGUUUCUCUUCCACGGCAAGAGACACAACUAACUGA